AUUGAACGCUGGCGGCAUGCUUUACACAUGCAAGUCGAACGGCAGCGCGGGCUUCGGCCUGGCGGCGAGUGGCGAACGGGUGAGUAAUGCAUCCGAACGUGCCCAGUAUUGGGGGAUAGCCCGGCGAAAGCCGGAUUAAUACCGCAUACGACCUGAGGGUGAAAGCGGUGGACCGAAAGGCCUCGCGCUAUUUGCGCGGCCGAUGUCGGAUUAGCUAGUUUGUUGGGUAAAGGCUUAGCAAGGCGACGAUCCGUAGCUGGUCUGAGAGGACGACCAGCCACACUGGGACUGAGACACGGCCCAGACUCCUACGGGAGGCAGCAGUGGGGAAUUUUGGACAAUGGGGGCAACCCUGAUCCAGCCAUGCCGCGUGCGGGAAGAAGGCCUUCGGGUUGUAAACCGCUUUUGUUCGGGAAGAAAUGCUCUGGGCUAAUACCCCGGGGGGAUGACGGUACCGGAAGAAUAAGCAACGGCUAACUACGUG
rnacentral:rRNA from 1 species